rnacentral:rRNA from 1 species
GAUGAACGCUGGCGGCGUGCCUAAUACAUGCAAGUCGAGCGAACAGACGAGGCGCUUGCUCCUCUGACGUUAGCGGCGGACGGGUGAGUAACACGUGGAUAACCUACCUAUAAGACUGGGAUAACUUCGGGAAACCGGAGCUAAUACCGGAUAAUAUAUUGAACCGCAUGGUUCGAUAGUGAGAGACGGUUUUUCUGUCACUUAUAGAUGGAUCCGCGCCGCUUUGGCUAGUUGGUAAGGUAAAGGCUUACCAAGGCAACGAUGCGUAGCCGACCGGAGGGGGGGAUCGGCCACACUGGAACUGAGACACGGUCCAGACUACUACGGGAGGCAGCAGUAGGGAAUCUUCCGCAAUGGGCGAAAGCCUGACGGAGCAACGCCGCGUGAGUGAUGAAGGUCUUCGGAUCGUAAAACUCUGUUAUUAGGGAAGAACAAAUGUGUAAGUAACUAUGCACGUCUUGACGGUACCUAAUCAGAAAGCCACGGCUAACUACGUG